AUGCUCAGUGAGAUUGUUAUUCACUCCAACCCACUGACCACACAGAGAAGUGGUGACCCACCACUUCUGACAUACUUUCUCCAGGAAAGGUUGGGUAUUAGAAUUAGGCGCAAAAAGACAUCAGAAGUUGUGAAGCCCCCUUUGAUAUUAUGUAUUGACUCAAAACGAAAGGUUUGAAUGCAAUAUUCUUAAUCCACAUUUCGGCACAGCACAUACUCAUUUAACUAGGAAGUAAGAUAUAACUGCACAUUUUUGACUGCACAGUCUUAGUUUUCAUUUCAAUAUUUUUCAAACUCAAUGCAUCUUACAUCAUUCGGGUCUAACAGAGACUA
rnacentral:lncRNA from 1 species